UAAGCUUUUGUGGUUGAGUUAGAAGAAUAAACCUUUUCAACUAUCUCUUUCUUCAAUCUCUCUUUUCAAGGAAAAUAAGAUCCGACUAUCAAUAUGAAGAAAUAUGCAGAGGAUCUAAUCAAAUGGUGUCUCGCCGGAGUUAUCUGCUCGUAAAGAAGAAGCAUGUCGACACCCAUGAGUUGGCCGCCUUUCUUAACAGUUCUUGCUCCCCAUAAUCAGAGGAGACAGACCUCGGCGAUGUUUGAACAACAUUCAGCUUUCAAAUCGGUGAUUAGAAAUUUUAAUUGGAUUCGGGAUUACGGUUUCUAUGUGAUGAUAAAAGUCUUGGCCUUUCAGUGAUCCUCUGCGGUUGCGGCUUGAUCCCCAAUAAGGAAACGUCCAGUGGAAAAUUAUGCAGCAAUCAUUGAAGGAUGGAGCAAAACGAUUCAGUAGCUGAUGAAAAGUUGGGAAACUUAGCGUUGAGACCCAGUGGUGUUCUCAGUUUUGACAGUCCUGUUCUUGCCCAUGAUUUGCUUCUUCUUUAUAGGGAGACCCAAUGGCGUUCUCAGUUUUGACAGUUCUGGUCCGUUGCAUUGUACCCAGUCUGUCUUUAUAGCGAGCUGAACAGAAGGUUUACCUUAUCUCUGACAGCAUUAUUCCAUACGAUGUUGACAUAGAAAAAAAUGUGGUAUAUCCUACAUAGUUUUUGAACAGUGUUAAAGUCGCUACAUUGCCUUGACACUGUUUAAAGCUAGAAGUUGGUGCUCAUAUCAUGCGUCUUCGUAACAUGGAUGCUGCAGUUGGCUUAUGUAAUGGUACUAGGCUAAUUGUUAGUCAGAUAUUUCCCAAUGUGAUACAAGGUAGAAUUAUAACGGGAAACGAUAUUGCCGGAGAGGAUGUUUGGAUUCCCAGAAUGUUUGUCACACCACCUGACACAAAGUUUCCCUUUAGAAUGCGUUGAAGACAGUUUCCAGUUACAUUGGUGUUCGCGAUGACCAUCAAUAAAAGUCAAGGUCAAACGCUGCAAAAUGUUGGUUUGUUUCUACCUAAACCAGUGUUCUCUCAUGGCCAA